CCACCAGGUAAAUCCCCUCCAACAAACAUUCCUUCCUAUCUGAACAGGCUGAUUUGGCAACCAAAGACUCCUGCCUUAGAGCAAGAGCUGGAAAGGAAUGUGACCUGUGGCUCCUGACAGGAGUAGGCACCAGCACAUGGAGUACCAAGACCAAAAGCAGUUUCCCAUUGAACAGUCCUGACUCCAUGUAUGAGAUCAUGGCUUGGCAUGUGGGACAUCAGAGGCUGAAAUUUGGUGCCUGAUGUGCUGUUUACAUACAUAAGGGACUACCUCUCCAGACAGCCGGAUCUGCAGAAAGGAAGAAUUCUGUCUGGUGGUUUUGGCAAAUACCAUCCCAAGCAUAAGGGUUCAGCCUGCUAACUCCAGCAAGGACAAAACAGACGGGAAGUCAAUAGCUCAAAAUGAAAGGCAAGUGAAACAAUUCUGCUUUGAGCCCUACUUCAACAUGCUCCUAGACAUUGCUUAUACAUGGAGCAAAAAAACCACACUAGCGUCUUCAGAGAAAGCAAGAGUGAGCAUUAAAACUGUGUUCCUGAGAGUUGGCCAGCCCCAGGAUCUGGAUCAUAGGAUCACAGCAUGGUUUGGGCUGAAAGGGACCUUAAGGACCAUCCAGUUCUAACCCCCACACCGUGAGCAGAGACACCUUCCACUAGACAAGGUUGCUCAAAGCCCUGUCUAACCUGGCCUCUAACACUUCCAGGGAUGGGGCAUCCACAGCUUCUCUAGGCAAUCUUUCUCAGUGCCCCAGCACCCUCAUAGUGAAUUAGUUCUUCGUUAUGUCUAAUCUAAGACCUCUCAUUUUAUCAAUCCCUUCUAUUCAGAUUUUGCUCUAUGAACUGCAAGUCCUAGCUAUUGCCACUCAGUUAACAAACCAAACAACUCAAAUCGCACUAAUUGAGACUGCUGAGGAGGAACAACAGAUCCCCUCUGUAAGGAUAAGACAUGCUGCACUGUAGCCAUGCUGGUAUUCUCAAACGGAGAUGCCUUACGCCCUGCCCAGAUACAGAUUCACAGUGGUAAAGAGACCACAGUCUGGUGUAGCAUGUGCUCUGCGUGGUCACUCAUUCAUCACCUCCACUCACACGCACAUGUCAUCAACUCAAAAGGCAGGUGUGUACACAUCCAUCUUGCAAGAGGUGUUGGUCAGUUGUGGUGGUUUUGUUUCCAUGGAGAGAUGGAACAUACCAUUACCAAUGCAAAUACACAGUUAAUGUAGUCACUGGACCUGCUGCAGCUUCUCAAGUGUGCAGAGAUAAGCUUCAUUAUCAGACCUAAGUCAGUGUAAGAUUUGACCGUUUUCCUAAAAGAAUCUUCACUCACCCAAUUCCACAUCUUAUUUUUGAGUAGGUGGCAACACAUUUUUCCCCAUCCCAACAAAUGACAGUUCUCAAGAGCUGAAAAAGCCAAAGCAAAUUAAGUUUUAGAUUUUCCAUAAUCUUGGAAAACAGAUCACUGCUUUGAUCGGCAACUAAAAUAAGUAUGGAAAUGUACUACGGGGAAAAGAAGAACAAAAAAGGAAUUGGAUGGUUAAAUCAUAAAAAUAUGAGGAGAACACCCAAGAGUGGAAGUACACACAAAUACUCAGAGCCAGCCAUAUUUCAAAUCGAUGACUUCUCUUUACACAUACCAGAAUUGGAUGCUAUUUCUGCAUUACUCUUCGUCCAAAGAAGGACAUGUGUUUUCCAGCAGUUUGAGCUCACUGGGGCUAAUUACCUCAACAUGGAGCUGCAAAUGGAAAAUGCUGCUGCUGGUCCUGUGCCGAUACCCUGGUGCAGCUCUGGGCAGGAGAACACACUCGCUGACCUGCUGGGGAACCUACACGCCUUGAAUCCCAUUAUGGAGAAACAGAGCUCACUCCAGAGCCAUGACUGACACCGAGUUUCCAUCGUAAACCAAGGCUGGCCUUUUCCUGACCCUGUCUUCUAAAAACCACUGAUUUAUAAAACAUCCCACCAACAAGGAAAUUGGUAGGUCUGAUUUGGUAAUGGAGAAGAAAAAGCACUUUCCCAUGCAGAUCCCAAGUUAACUUGAAAGUUGGCUUUCAAAAAAAAAACAAAAAAAAACAACCCAGAGCAAGUACAAUCAAAUAGCUAAUUGUGGAUUUGGACCCAACUUUGAGAGAUACGUCAUGAGAAAGCAAUAAGCAAUCACUGAUAUCCCAUACUAGCAUUUCUAAGCCCUUUUCUUUUUUUUUUUGUAAACUAAGACAAAAAACAUACCGCAUUGGCAAGGCUUGCCUGCCAACAACUGCUCAGUACCAGGAUCUCACUAACACGAAGUUUUGAGUUAACUGUAUGGCAGGCACCCAUGCCAGAAAGGUAACUUUUAGGUACUCUCAAGAACUGCUGCAGUAACAGUUGGUGCCACCACCGUGACACGGCCACUUGGGAGACAUGAGGCACAGAAUCUUCUUUGCUGACCUGUGCCUAGCACACACACAGGAGUUCCCAGAGGAAUUAUACUCCUUUGCUAGCUCACAUCAGAACCCAGGCAGCGCAGUUACAUCUUUGCUACUCCAGCAUCUCACCUAAAUCAUCCAUGCACAUCAUCUGUUCACAAAAUUCUAAGUAUUCAGCACUUUAAGUGUCAUUCAUCAACUCUCCAGCUCCUGGCCUCUAUUUAACUCAGGUUGGCUGUUGGACUUCUAAUGCACAGGGUAUCCUGGGGCUAACGAGUAGCACCGAGCCUAACGAGCCCCAAUUAAGUGUGGUUUAUUCCCACUAAAACCCCUAUGUGGGUGUAGUAUAACAGCUGAGGAGGGAGAGGUGGGACUUGCUCUCUACCAUCCAUUUACCCACAGUCACUCCAGUUGAUGCCUUUCUGUGCUCCUUUAACUAGUUCCCUACAGAUGGCACCGUACCACCAUCCAAAAUACCCCUUUAGGAAAAAAAAAAAAAAACAAAAAAAGAGUUUCAGCUGAGCCACCAAGAAGAGCCAGGUGAUCAGCAAGGUUCCUGCUCUCUAAUCCAGAUGACUUCUUGAGCAAGGGCAGUGGAACCAAAUAGAGAACGAUCACAAGGUUCUGAACAUCCAACCUUUUCUACCAUAGACCAAGAUGGAGUCUAGUGGAAAGAUGGGUCCAAAUACAUAUACAUCCUUGCUCCACGUUUCCAUGAAGCUAGCUGUGUUGAAGACGGGACACUGAGGCUGGACAGGUCUUGGGUAUGACCUUGUCUGCCAAUUCCUACGGGAGACAACUAAGAAACCUCACAAGAAGCCUGUGCGUGUCCAAAGAUUUACACAUGGGGCUGCAGUGUCAGUAAUUGGAUGGAUGCAAUAAAAUCUGCAGAUUCCUUUUCCCCAGUCAUGUGUGGUAUUUCUAUUACUUUCUCUGUGACUGUUUUACAUCCAAUAAAAACACACAGAAUAGAAAAUACAGUAGUAUAAGUUACCCUUUGCUCUUGGUAAGAAGAAUAAUUCAUUGGUUUGGCAC